GAUGAACGCUGGCGGCGUGCCUAAUACAUGCAAGUCGAGCGAACGGACGAGAAGCUUGCUUCUCUGAUGUUAGCGGCGGACGGGUGAGUAACACGUGGAUAACCUACCUAUAAGACUGGGAUAACUUCGGGAAACCGGAGCUAACACCGGAUGAUAUUUUGAACCGCAUGGUUCAAAAGUGAAAGACGGUCCUGCUGUCACUUAUAGAUGGACCCGCGCUCCUUUAGUAGGUGGGAAGGGAAAGGGCUACCAAGGCAAACAGGCAUAGCCGACCCGAGGGGGUGAUCCGCCACCCCGGAACUGAGACACGGUCCCGACUCCUACGGGAGGCAGCAGUAGGGAAUCUUCCGCAAUGGGCGAAAGCCUGACGGAGCAACGCCGCGUGAGUGAUGAAGGUCUUCGGAUCGUAAAACUCUGUUAUUAGGGAAGAACAUAUGUGUAAGUAACUGUGCACAUCUUGACGGUACCUAAUCAGAAAGCCACGGCUAACUACGUG
rnacentral:rRNA from 1 species